CAGCCUCUCCUCCCCGUUCCCAUCCCUCCUCCCGCAGACCACGGCUCACCCAAAAAUUAUGCCACCUCUCCCCUGCCAACGCACCGCGCCGCCGUCGCCCGUCAUCCCUCCCACUCCACCUCAACCGCCCCCUCCGCCGCGCCGGCCAUCCCCUCUUUGCGCAUCCUCUCUACUCCGACGGCUCAGUGGAGCUCGAGCGCCGUUCGUCGCCCACUGCCUACCCCCACCCCAUGGUGCCACCCAGGAAGAUCGCCGUCACUCAUGGCGCCCCAAGAAGCUCGCCGGGCUCCCUGCUCCUUCCCCAUCGCAUGGGCCUCCUCGCCGGUGAUCUCCUCCCUUCUCACCCUCAAGUAACGUCGUCGAUCCCCCGCUGCUGCCACACCUUGUCACAUUCCAGUGCAUGCCCUCGCCCAUAUGGCCAGAUCGACUUGUUUGGAUCACUCAAGCUGGGUAGAGCAAUCAAAAGGACUGAGGUUGAAGCAAUUCCUGUGCUAGGAAAAGUCCGAAAAGCUGUUGAAAUUUAGACUGCUCGAGCCAAUGACAGGCAUGUUGUUCCCUAAUCCAUUUCUUUUCUAUAUGAGUUAUAUAGUAAUCUACAGAUGCAUGUGCAAACCAGCUGGAUUUGUACACGUACUGACCACAGGUGCAGAUGAAUUGUAAAAUUAAGAUAUUAAGCAAUAUAUAAACAACUAAAUAUGUAUCAGUAUAUAUAAGGUUUGAGUAUCUAAAAUGUUUACUGCACUGAACUUAAUGGAAAAUUUCAGAAAUCUGACUACAAACAUAUGGAAUUUGCUUCUUCCAUCCUUCAUGUGAUUGGUGGUCUGCCGACUGCUUCUGAUGACUGAGUUGCUCUAUUGGCUUUCGUGAUUACCGUCGUGGCCGCGCCCUUCGAUUUGUUGGUCUCACUCACCAUGGUGGAUAUGUUCGCAUACCGGCCACGCAGUGCGGUGUGGUAAGCUUAAAGCUGACAGCCGAGAGGUUGUCCAAGAAUGAUCCACAUAUAUGCUUCUUCCUCUGAACUGGACCAUUGGAAUGCCAGGAAUCUUAGUGGCGACAGUGAUCAAAGCCAACUUGACCCUAUCUGGAAUGAGGAUCUCAAGCUCUCUAUUCCUUAGCAGUACGGUCCUCGCAUGUUGGUAAUCAACUCACAGGAUCCAAAAUCAUUGAAAAUUUGUAAUGUGUUUCUGAUGAGUUCGUCCAAAACUCACUUUGUUUUCAUCCAGCAAGUGUUCAAUGGGUGGCAAUUUUCUCAGCUAGCAACAACAACAGUUGAUGACUGCCAAUGCCAAUGUUGGUGACUCAAUUCUUAAGUUAUUUCAAAAUAAUUUUAACAGUGCAGCAUGUUCUUUAUUGAUCCUGUACCAACCUCAUGAAAUCGACCGGUCUGAACAUAUGGAUGAUUUAGCCCACACAACAAAUCAAUGCGAUUUGGAAUUUAAUUAUUUGGUUAGUAUUCACUAUUCAGGUGUAUGCAUUAAGUCUCAUGUUAUAUGUAGGUUUAAUGAUAUCCAUUGCUUCUUGAUACAGUACUUGUCAUAUUCCAAAAACGUAAAAAGAUUGGUGUUAAAGUUAGAAUGUUGCUGCAGCUAGAUGAUAUUGCCUUCAGUUUUCUGAAAUUACUGCUAUACCCAUGAACUGGUUUAUUUAGAUCACUACACAAAUCGAUGCAAUUUGGUUAAUAUUUAGUAAAUACAUUAAGUGUCAUGUUAUAUAUAGGUCUAAUGAUAUCCAUUGUUUUGUGAUACUGUAUAGGCGUACUCCAAAAUGGUUUUUGUGUACUAUUGUCUUUAUUAUACUGAAGUUAAAAUGUUCUUGAAUAGGGCAUACGCGGAUUGGGGAUUUCUUUUCGUGCAGUAACAAUAUUUCUGUUGUACUUUUGUGCGCACAUAGGGGAGUGUGGAGUUGCUAUCGUGACAUUCUUCAAAUCCAAAGCUCAUUGGUGCUGGAGUUUGAGCGAUGGUUCUUUUGUUCUUUGAGAUGUAUGUUGCCUUUGCUGUUGCAAGCUAAAUUUUCUCUUCCAACCACAGUGAUAAAGAAAUAGCAAUUUAAUUAUUAUGUUGGUUUUGAUGCCAUCUAUGAACAUAUGUCUCUCUUCCUCCAACUCUCCAUGGAAUCAAACUCCUCACCUGCUAGCCAAGCUCAAAGCUGGUGCAUUGGUUUUCUCCCUGGUAGAAAAUACAUAAUUUUCUUAUUGCAUUUCAUUGUUUGUUGACCAUCGACUGACAUCUCCAUUGUUGCCGAGAACAUCUGUGGUUUGCAUGUGUACUCGCAAUUCCUCCUUGAAAAUGUCUUGAUCAGAAGUCUAGUGUGCAUACUUUUUUGUGGUAUACUGGUCUUAGGAAUUUGAUUAGCGUUUUGAUGCAUGAAAGUAAAAGUGAGAUGAAGGUUUAUACAUGAAUAUAUAAUUUAGUCAUCUUAAUUUGUUUUCAGGAUUGUUAAUAUGUAUGUAUUCUUUCAUUUUCUCUUGAGAAAAACUCACAAUAGUCUCGGUCACAUGUAUCAAGUAUAUAUAUGGUUUUUUUCUAA